rnacentral:rRNA from 1 species
GUCCACGCCGUAACUAUGGAUGCUAGCUGUACACCGUAUCGACCCGGUGUGUAGCGAAGCUAACGCGUUAAGCAUCCCGCCUGUGGAGUACGAGCGCAAGCUUAAACAUAAAGGAAUUGACGGGACCCGCACAAGCGGUGGAGCGUGUUGUUUAAUUCGAUGGUAAGCGAAGAACCUUACCAAGGCUUGAAAUCCUGAGAAGCACUGCGAAAGCAGAGUGUGCCUUCGGGAACUCAGUGACAGGUGUUGCAUGGCCGUCGU